rnacentral:rRNA from 1 species
AACGAACGCUGGCGGCAUGCCUAACACAUGCAAGUCGAACGAGACCUUCGGGUCUAGUGGCGCACGGGUGCGUAACGCGUGGGAACCUGCCCUUAGGUUCGGAAUAACUCCCCGAAAGGGGUGCUAAUACCGGAUAAUGUCUUCGGACCAAAGAUUUAUCGCCUUUGGAUGGGCCCGCGUUGGAUUCGCUAGUUGGUAGUGUAAAAGCCUACCAAGGAGACGAUCCAUAGCUGGUCUGAGAGGAUGAUCAGCCACACUGGGACUGAGACACGGCCCAGACUGCUACGGGAGGGAGCAGAAGGGAAUAUUGGACAAGGGGCGAAAGCCUGAUCAAGCAAUGCCGCGUGAGUGAGGAAGGGCGUAGGGUUGUAAAGCUCUUUUACCCGGGAUGAUAAUGACAGUACCGGGAGAAUAAGCACCGGCUAACUACGUG